AUUCUGGUUGAUCCUGCCAGUAGUUAUAUGCUUGUCUCAAAGAUUAAGCCAUGCAUGUCUAAGUACACACGAAUUAAAAGUGAAACCGCAAAAGGCUCAUUAUAUCAGUUAUGGUUCCUUAGAUCGUUAACAGUUACUUGGAUAACUGUGGUAAUUCUAGAGCUAAUACAUGCAAUUAAAACACGGACCUUAUGGGACGUGUGCUUUUAUUAGGCUAAAACCAAGCGAUCGUAAGAUCGUUACAUUGGUUGAACUCUAGAUAACAUGCAGAUCGUAUGGUCUUGUACCGACGACAGAUCUUUCAAAUGUCUGCCCUAUCAACUUUUGAUGGUAGUAUCUAGGACUACCAUGGUUGCAACGGGUAACGGGGAAUCAGGGUUCGAUUCCGGAGAGGGAGCCUGAGAAACGGCUACCACAUCUAAGGAAGGCAGCAGGCGCGUAAAUUACCCACUCCCAGCUCGGGGAGGUAGUGACGAAAAAUAACAAUACAGGACUCAUAUCCGAGGCCCUGUAAUUGGAAUGAGUACACUUUAAAUCCUUUAACAAGGACCAAUUGGAGGGCAAGUCUGGUGCCAGCAGCCGCGGUAAUUCCAGCUCCAAUAGCGUAUAUUAAAGUUGUUGCGGUUAAAACGUUCGUAGUUGAACUUGUGCUUCAUACGGGUAGUACAACUUACAAUUGUGGUUACUACUAUACCUUUAUGUAUGUAAGCGUAUUACCGGUGGAGUUCUUAUAUAUAAUUAAGUACUUGUAUUUUUUUAUAUAUUCCUCCUAUUUAAAAACCUGCAUUAGUGCUCUUCAUCGAGUGUUAUUGUGGGCCGGUACAAUUACUUUGAACAAAUUAGAGUGCUUAAAGCAGGCUUCAAAUGCCUGAAUAUUCUGUGCAUGGGAUAAUGAAAUAAGACCUCUGUUCUGCUUUCAUUGGUUUUCAGAUCAAGAGGUAAUGAUUAAUAGAAGCAGUUUGGGGGCAUUAGUAUUACGACGCGAGAGGUGAAAUUCUUGGACCGUCGUAAGACUAACUUAAGCGAAAGCAUUUGCCAAAGAUGUUUUCAUUAAUCAAGAACGAAAGUUAGAGGUUCGAAGGCGAUCAGAUACCGCCCUAGUUCU
rnacentral:ncRNA from 1 species